rnacentral:rRNA from 1 species
GAUGAACGCUGGCGGCGUGCCUAAUACAUGCAAGUCGAGCGAACGGACGAGAAGCUUGCUUCUCUGAUGUUAGCGGCGGAGGGGUGAGUAACACGUGGAUAACCUACCUAUAAGACUGGGAUAACUUCGGGAAACGGUAGCUAAUACCGGAUAAUAUUUUGAACCGCAUGGUUCAAAAGUGAAAGACGGUCUUGCUGUCACUAAUAGAUGGAUCCGCGCUGCAUUAGCUAGUUGGUAAGGUAACGGCUUACCAAGGCAACGAUGCAUAGCCGACGUGAGAGGGUGAUCGGCCACACUGGAACUGAGACACGGUCCAGACUCCUACGGGAGGCAGCAGUAGGGAAUCUUCCGCAAUGGGCGAAAGCCUGACGGAGCAACGCCGCGUGAGUGAUGAAGGUCUUCGGAUCGUAAAACUCUGUUAUUAGGGAAGAACAUAUGUGUAAGUAACUGUGCACAUCUUGACGGUACCUAAUCAGAAAGCCACGGCUAACUACGUG